AUACUCACUUCAGCAGCACAUAUACUAAAAUUGGAAAGGUGCAGAGAUUAGCGUGGCUCCUGUACAAGAAUGAUACUCAAGUUAGGGAAACGUUCCAUUUUUUU
ensembl:snRNA U6 U6 spliceosomal RNA